GAGAUAGCCAAUGUGUUAUCGCCAACGUGUUAUCGCCAAUCGCUUGGCUCGCCAACAAGAUUUAUGCAAUGGAAGAAAAAAGCAAGGAGGUACAUGUAGCCAACAUGUACUGUCACGGACCUUGCUUACUGUCUAGCACAACGCCGUUGUCAACGGUGCAAACUCGUUUUCAGUGCAACGAUAACUCUACCAGAUCUUACGAGAAUCAAUCUGUAGUAUUCUGUACACAGAACUGUAUCAAAGCUUGUCAAAACUGCUUUAAACACUGCAGCUAUAACUGUGAAACUAUUGAAAUCUAAAGUGACAUUAUUCAACACAUGCGAAAAGCUGAAAAUAGACACAAUGUGACCUUCGAAAAGUCAAAGGUCAAUGAGACUUGUUAUUGUGAAACAUGUCACAAUUAGGUUAAAAUGCGGAAGCGGAUGGAGCGGAUCCACGGAACGGAUAUGCGGAUAAAAUACGGAACGGAUGAAGAUAAAGUGCUUCCUUUCAAUGAUAUAACGACGUAGUGCUUAUUAUUCAUAACAUAUUUAUACAGCUAUUUCAAUUAUAGUUUUAGAUAAGUUUAGCAUAGCAGUAGCCUCGUGGGGAUGCUUUUAGCGACAGCUGCAAAUACAAAUGCAAAUGAAAUUUAGAAUAUGCAAAAUUUGGUUGUUGGUGAAACAAUUGAAAUUUAGCAUGCGUGUAGCAUCACAAUAAAUAGAUAAAUUGUGUCAGUUUCACAAGGCACGUUUCUGAUGUGUCAGGCUUGUUUCAAACGUCGUGCGCCGAGCGCAUGAGAUGAAAUGCAUUUGGUAAUUGUUUAUUUCGUAGUGUAAGCCAUCAGCUUUUCUAGGUUGUCGGCGAACCUAUAUAGUUCUUGCAGUGUCUUUUUCAAUUUGAAACUUCACACUAUCCUUGGAUCCCUAGUUUUUAAUCAAGUUUGCGUGACGAUUCGCAUGUUAUUGAAGACAUGACGUAAAUGUUAUAGACAGUGUGCGCAUUAUAUUUCCGGCCUCAUUGUUCUUCGUCACCACAAUAUUUUUAAUGAGUUUACUCUGAUCAAGUUGCACUUGAGUUGACUCGUGUCAUUUACUGCAGACGUCAAUAUCCACACUGAAAACCAAGAAAACGUAACGAGUCGAGUCGUUCACUCUAAAAUACUCUGGUUAAAAUUUUGCUGGUUAACGUACAGUAGACAUAACCCUAUAUUCAGGAAAUAUUCCUGGUUAAAUUUCCAGGGAUUUCGCUUCCCAGCUGAUGAAUGUAACCACAAAAUAUGUUAAAAUUGCUAUUAAUUUGUUAAGACAAAACUAAAUAUCCGGAAUGUCAUUAGGACCGUACGAAUAUGUAUGUUAAUUGCUAAAACUAUUAUAAUCUCAGGAUUGUCUUCACGAACAUAAUUAUUACGUUGACUGUUAUUGAACUAUACAAGGCAAUUGUAAAUCUCAGGAAUGUCAUUGUGAUCAUUUCCCGCAUUGGCUUGUCUUAAAGAAUACCACGCUUCAAGGAAUAACCUUUUGUUAUAAUCUGGUUCACGAUCAACAACUUUGGUGUUAUCAAAAUCCAUUCUGUGAAGGUGGGUGUUAACUGUUUGUGUGUUGCGCUAUUUUAGAAUAUUCAUCGUCUUUAGAAUAUUCAUCUUGCUUUCCUAGAAAACACGAACACUAUACAAGUCAGCGUUUAUAGGAAAUCCACACACAAACAAAUACUUGGAUUUUAAUUCCCACCAUCCCACCACUCAUAAACGUUCUGUCGUUAAUUCUUUACUUAAUCGAGCAGAUAUUAUUCCGACUUCUACCUCGGGAAAAAGAAAGGAACGUAAACAUGUUUCCAAGGUACUUAUGAACAAUGGCUACCCCAAACAGUUUUUAAAACAGUGUGACAAACAUCGCAGACUUAAGGAAAAACAAAGCCCCCUUGAUGCUGUCAAUUCCGCAGUCCCGCAAACAAAUUUUAUCACAUUACCAUAUAUUAAAGGCGUGUCGGAGCGGAUCUCUAGAACAUUAGAACGAGAAAACCUUGAAUCGUUUUAGCAACUGAUUUCAAAUAUAUAGUUUGCAUCACUGGAGUUUUUAGGAAUUUGAUUAAGCAUCUAGCAAAAUAAUAUAUACAUGUCAUUUACCGACUGGGAGAUCCGUACUGAAAACUAUUUUUUAAUUGUGCAUGCCCAUAGUGAUAUUCUUUUAUUUCCAUAUUUCAUUUUUAGCGACAAACCGAGGAGUGAAGACAUGCAGUUUUGAAACUCAAAAUACUAAUCACUGCCCAAAAAGUUGAAAGUCGAUAACAAAGAUAGUAAAAAUAUGGCACUGAAUUGACUUUAAUGGACUUAAUAGUGGCAAGCCCGAUAUGCAAUUUUCUUCGGUCGAAAUGCGAAAAAGAAAUACAUCGGAAAAAAACACUGGCCAUUGCUACAGUACAUGUUUUGAUUCAAAUGCUCCUCAUAUAUUCAACUAUUCUUUCGAAAAAUAUAUACGUAUAAAUAAUUGGGUGGGGGGUUGUAUAUUCAUGUAUUCAUAUUCACAUACCGUAAAAACAGAGGAGGUUGGACAGUAGGCCGCAAAGCAUCACGGGUAUUGAGCGCCUCAUUCCACGCGUGACUUCAUUGAUUGUUGACUGUCGAGGAGUGAACAUCUCUCUGACUAAAGCAAUAUGGAAGCUUUCGAACGACAAGAGUGUCAGGCUGUGAUACUUUGUGAAAAGAAACAGCAUGUUAUUGCUGUAUUGUUGCGAUCAUCAUUAUGACUUGUGUUUUGCUUUUUCAAGUUAACUUUUUUUAAAUUGCAUGGGACGUGCUGUCAUUUUAGCUUUAUAAAUAAUCCGUCUGAGAAGAGGAAUUGUGUUUAAUUUUAUAUUCCCAAUAGCGAGGCUCUUCUUUCUAAGUGGGAUGGCGUUAAAUCUCCGUGUAUCAUCAACGUGAAAACAAGCGCAGUGUUUAAGGUUAAUUGGUAUACUACAAUAUACUACAAUGCAUUACAGUUAUCGUGAAUAUUUUAUAGUCAAAUUUCCGCUUUGUUGUUUUUAUUCUUGUACUGUAAUUUUAUAAAUACACUGUACAAAAUUAUGGCGUCAUACUUGUGUUUAUAAUGCCUCUACUCUAGUUUGACCCUACUGUGUGUGUAUAUGUACUGUGUCACUGUGAUAGAUAUGUACAUGUUUUGAGUUAAACGAAUUGUUUAAUAAAUUUUUGCUGAAGUAUGAUGCCUGUUUGUAUUGGAUAGAUUUUAAUUUACAUAUAUGUGCAUACAGUAUAGUUACAUUGCUUCUCAGAUGAGUCUGAAGGUAUAUUGUUAUUCAGUUAUUUGUAUGUAUUGUUUUAUAAAUUUUUGCUGAGUAUGAUGCCUGUUUGUAUCUAGUUGUAGAUGGUUGUGAGAAUAUAAUUUUAGAGGUUACAUGUUUGCUAAUUUUAGAGAUGAUAAUAAUGUAUCAAAUAAUAAUUUUCUUGUUAUGAUUUUGUAGAAAGAAAUUACUUGAGUGGUUGGCUGGUCUUGAGCCUGUUCAGGAUGGAUAUGAUAAUGAAAGGGAUGACAGGGCAGCAAGUGAUGACGUUUAAGUGAGAAGAUGAAAGUGAUGAGGAAGAAGUCACCCACGCUGUACCAUUCAAGUGCAUCAGUGCUGCUCGUGAGAAAAACUACCAACAUCAUUUGGAAAAUUAAAUUAAGGCAUAAUACCUCACUCUUCAUGAACAAGAUAAAAUAGUGAAUGUAAGAAUAUGGCCAGCACCAUUGAAUCCAAGGGACCCACGUGCAAUAGGCAAUUCCAGCUUUUAGUUUAUUUUAUUAAAAUUUUUCAGCAUAAUCAGCUAUAUGAUACCUUACUUCCUGCCACCCCUGCACACAUAAAUCAAAAGCUGGAAUUGCCUAUCGACUAGACUAUGUAACUGGAUGGACAACAUUUUGGUUAUAUUGCUUUUGAACUAUGCAAGUAUUUGCACCCAUUAAUUGCUGCAGAUGUCGUGGAGGUCUGGUGGAAACAUUUCUAGUGGGGUGCAAGCACCACCACUGAGUGAUCUUUUUACAGGGGUUAGGAAUUAGGGUUAAGGCUUUUGAAGCAAAAUUUUGGUGGGGUUAAACACUUGAUAAGAGGGGUUAGAGAGAUUCUAAGGGGGGGGGGGUUAACCCCUUCUAACGCCCCGAAACCUGGUAAGUGGAGACUCAAGUGGUAGGAAAAAGCAUGAGUGUAUGUUGACAGAUGUUUUUUUAUAUAAUAAAUAGCAACUAGCUAUGUUUAGCAAGUUAUUAGUGCAUUCAUUUCAAUUGACUAACUUUUUUGUUUUUUUUCCAGCAUUUUUAAACAAACCAUAUGUUAUAAAUGAUAACUGGGUAUAUCUAAUUAAAACAAUCUGUCAUAUACACUCAUGCAAAUAAGAAGACUAAGUACAUAAAUGACUGUAAAAAUGUACUUUAGUAAAUGAAUAAUUUAUCCAUACACUUGACCUACUUUGUGAGUAUUUUUUCCGAUUAAAAUUGAUGCAACAAUACAACAAGAAGAUGUCUAUUUAUAUAUUUAUUAAAUUAAUCCGAGAUCCCAAC
rnacentral:lncRNA from 1 species